AUUGAACGCUGGCGCCAUGCUUUACACAUGCAAGUCGAACGGUAACAGGCCUUCGGGUGCUGACGAGUGGCGAACGGGUGAGUAAUGCAUCGGAACGUGCCCAGAGGUGGGGGAUAACGCAGCGAAAGCUGUGCUAAUACCGCAUGUGAUCUGAGGAUGAAAGCGGGGGACCAGGCAGCAAUGUUUGGCCUCGCGCCUUUGGAGCGGCCGAUGUCAGAUUAGGUAGUUGGUGGGGUAAAGGCCUACCAAGCCGACGAUCUGUAGCUGGUCUGAGAGGACGACCAGCCACACUGGGACUGAGACACGGCCCAGACUCCUACGGGAGGCAGCAGUGGGGAAUUUUGGACAAUGGGCGCAAGCCUGAUCCAGCAAUGCCGCGUGCGGGAAGAAGGCCUUCGGGUUGUAAACCGCUUUUGUACGGAACGAAAAGGCUCUGGCUAAUACCUGGGGCUGAUGACGGUACCGUAAGAAUAAGCACCGGCUAACUACGUG
rnacentral:rRNA from 1 species